UUGUGUGUGUGUGUGUUGUGUGUGUUAAAAAUAACAGGAUACUUGGGGCAGUGAAAUACGGUAUAAAUAUCGUGCUGAAUGUAGCUCCACUGUGGUGUUUUUUCCUCUCUCUUCCAUUUUAAUUUUCUCGGAGGAGUCUACAUUAGUAAAAUAAAACCAAUCUAACGAUGGCUUGCAUGGGUUAAGUAGACUGCUGAAGUUUAAUAAUCUCACACAGUGAAUGUUAUGCAAAGAAGAGGAAGAAAAGGAGUUUUGACAAGAAAACAGGUAGUUGGAAUUCCUCCUGGCUUCAACUCAGGAUAAUGACUCUCAAAUUAUAAAUCUACUUGGUAUGAAGCUGAACAAAAUCAAUGUGGAACAUUCCAGAAACUCUGAAUCUGAUAGAGCACCAGGCUGUUCAGUGGUCUGGACAGAAAGAAUUUAUUCUUAUUAUUAUGAGUUGCAGCGGUGGCCCUCAAAGCUUUUGACUUCAGAGAGGACUGGAUUAAGGUCGUAGGGCUGUACUUACAGCAGCUCACCAUAAACCUGGCUCUGAAUAAUGCUCUGCCUUCUUCACUAAUGCAUUCUCUAAAAUAAAAUGAACAUAAAAAAAAUAAAUUAAUGCUUGAAA